rnacentral:ncRNA from 1 species
GUCAGACAAAGGCAAACUCAUUGAAAGAUGGGGACGCAAAGUCACAGGUCUAAGGCAAGAGAAAACUUGUUAGGAUGGCUGGGCUGCCUGA